rnacentral:rRNA from 1 species
UCUUAUGAAGUUAGCGGCGGACGGGUGAGUAACACGUGGGUAACCUGCCCAUAAGACUGGGAUAACUCCGGGAAACCGGGGCUAAUACCGGAUAACAUUUUGAACCGCAUGGUUCGAAAUUGAAAGGCGGCUUCGGCUGUCACUUAUGGAUGGACCCGCGUCGCAUUAGCUAGUUGGUGAGGUAACGGCUCACCAAGGCAACGAUGCGUAGCCAACCUGAGAGGGUGAUCGGCCACACUGGGACUGAGACACGGCCCAAACUCCUACGGGAGGCAGCAGUAGGGAAUCUUCCGCAAUGGACGAAAGUCUGACGGAGCAACGCCCCGUGAGUGAUGAAGGCUUUCGGGUCGUAAAACUCUGUUGUUAGGGAAGAACAAGUGCUAGUUGAAUAAGCUGGCACCUUGACGGUACCUAACCAGAAAGCCACGGCUAACUACGUGCCAGCAGCCGCGGUAAUACGUAGGUGGCAAGCGUUAUCCGGAAUUAUUGGGCGUAAAGCGCGCGCAGGUGGUUUCUUAAGUCUGAUGUGAAAGCCCACGGCUCAACCGUGGAGGGUCAUUGGAAACUGGGAGACUUGAGUGCAGAAGAGGAAAGUGGAAUUCCAUGUGUAGCGGUGAAAUGCGUAGAGAUAUGGAGGAACACCAGUGGCGAAGGCGACUUUCUGGUCUGUAACUGACACUGAGGCGCGAAAGCGUGGGGAGCAAACGGGAUUAGAUACCCUGGUAGUCCACGCCGUAAACGAUGAGUGCUAAGUGUUAGAGGGUUUCCGCCCUUUAGUGCUGAAGUUAACGCAUUAAGCACUCCGCCUGGGGAGUACGGCCGCAAGGCUGAAACUCAAAGGAAUUGACGGGGGCCCGCACAAGCGGUGGAGCAUGUGGUUUAAUUCGAAGCAACGCGAAG